ensembl:lncRNA
GCUCUGCGCAGUUUCUGCGCGUGCGCAAGCUAGAGCCCGCGUAUUUGCAUAAACUUUUGCUCUACUCCCGCGUAGCGAAAGGAGAGUUGGAGACUGCUUUGACCUGGCGCGGUGACGUCAAUAAAAAUAAGGUAUUCUGGAUGAAAGCCUGGGAAACCUGGGAUCCACGACUGUGUGUGCGUGCUCAGUCCUGACUGACCCUUUGUGACCCCAUGGACUGUGGCCCACCAGGCUCGUCUGUCCAUGAAAUUUUCCAGUGUGGGCAAACUCUCCAGUGAGCGCCGUUCUGGUUGACAAAUUGGAUUGCAACCUCCUAAGAGACGCUGAGCCACAGGCACCCAGCUAAGCUGCUCACAAAUUCCUGAUCCCCAAAGAAACUGGAGCCACCUAAGUCAGACAUGCAAAAAACCUUAGCGAUCAUCUGGUUCAGUUCUGUUGGGUCACAGAGGAGGAUUCUAAUGGCUAGAGAUUAAUUGAAUGGUCCAAGGUUACACAGACUCAGCUGCAUAUAACAUGCAGACCAGGCAUAUUCUUUACCACUGAGUCACGUGGGAAGCCCAUGGGUAGGAUUAGCGUCUUCAUAAAAGGGACCCCAGAGAGGUUUAUUAACCUCUUUCCAUCAAGUGAGGAUUCAAGAAGACAGCCAUCUGCAGCCUGGAUCCUCACCAGAACCCCACUUCUGUUGGCAUCCCAUUCUUGGUCUUCCAAGCUUCCAGAAUGACAAUAAAUAAAUCCCUGUUGUUU